rnacentral:rRNA from 1 species
AUUGAACGCUGGCGGCAUGCCUUACACAUGCAAGUCGAACGGUAACGGGCCUUCGGGUGCCGACGAGUGGCGAACGGGUGAGUAAUGCAUCGGAACGUGCCCAUGUCGUGGGGGAUAACGUAGCGAAAGCUACGCUAAUACCGCAUACGUCCUGAGGGAGAAAGCGGGGGAUCUUUGGACCUCGCGCGAUUGGAGCGGCCGAUGUCGGAUUAGCUAGUAGGCGAGGUAAAGGCUCACCUAGGCGACGAUCCGUAGCGGGUCUGAGAGGAUGAUCCGCCACACUGGGACUGAGACACGGCCCAGACUCCUACGGGAGGCAGCAGUGGGGAAUUUUGGACAAUGGGGGCAACCCUGAUCCAGCCAUGCCGCGUGAGUGAAGAAGGCCUUCGGGUUGUAAAGCUCUUUCGGCCGGGAAGAAAUCGUGGUCUCUAACAUAGGCCAUGGAUGACGGUACCGGACUAAGAAGCACCGGCUAACUACGUG